GAAAACCUGACUCUACUAAAAGUACAAAAAUUAGCUGGGUGUGGUGGCUCAUGCCUGUAAUCCCAGCUACUUGAGAGGCUGAGGUGGGAGAAUCGCUUGAACCCGGGAGGCAGAGAUUGCGCCACUGCACUCCAGUCUGGGAGACAAAGCGAGACUCCACAAGAAAAAAAAAAGAAAAAAAGAAAAGAAAAAAAAAAAGAAUGGAUACCAACCCUACACAGCCUCUUGCAAAAAUUGAAGAGGAUCCACUUCCUAACACAUUCUAUUAGGCCAGCAUUACCUUGAUACCAAAGCCAGAGAAAGAGUCCACAAGAAAUUGAUAGACCAAUAUUCCUUAUGAAUAUAGAUAUAAAAAUCCUCAACAAGCACCUAUAGUCCUAGCCACUCAGGAGGCUGAGGCAGCAGAAUCCCUUGAGCCCAGAAGUUCAAGGCUGCAGUGAGCUGGAGUGCAGUGGGAUUAUGUAGUAUUGAGA
rnacentral:lncRNA from 1 species